CACUUUACUGAAGUUAACAACUAAGCUUUCUUUGCGGCCUCCCUUCAGGUGCGGCCUCCCUUCAGGUGCGGCCUCCCUUCAGGUGGGGCUCCCUUCAGGUGGGGCUCCUGCAGCUGAUGAUUCAGUUCAAAGACACAUGGGCAGCCUGACCAAAACAAGAUGAAGUGCUGUUAGCAUGUCUGCUACACCACGCUGCCUCACUUCCUUCAACAUUUGGUGUUUCCUCGCUCUGAACUCCGAAGGAGUUUCUUCGGAUUAAAGUUUACCUGUUCCUGUUGGACCUUGUGUUUUUUUUGUCUUGUCAGCAUCUUCAAUUCCUAAUAGAUGUUUUGUAGUAGUUUCCUUUGUCACACAGUUGUGAACUUGAAGUGUUAGAUUUGUUAUCUUGUAUAAAACAAAUUUUCCAUUAGGAAACAUGUUUAUUUGUACAUAAUUAAAGACUACUAGAAACAAGUUUCCUCAGGAAUAAUGAAAGUGGUAAACUACUAUAAAUAAAACACAGCUGGCAGAUGAACUGAGCACAGAUGUAACACAAGUCACUGAUGCAGAAUGGAUACAGCAGUAGUUUUAUUACAAUAUUGAACAGACAUGACCUGUGUUUUUCUACAUGUUACAUCAGCACAAGAAGGUGUCACAGCAUCCCCAUUGGAUAGGAGACUCAAAGGGUUCUUAAUGUUUAAUUAUG